AGUGAACGCUGGCGGUAGGCCUAACACAUGCAAGUCGAACGGCCGCACAGUAAGAGCUUGCUCUUACGGGUGGCGGGUGGCGGACGGGUGAGGCAUACAUCGGAAUCUACUUUUUCGUGGGGGAUAACGUAGGGAAACUUACGCUAAUACCGCAUACGACCUACGGCUGAAAGCAGGGGAUCUUCGGACCUUGCGCGAUUGAUUGAGCCGAUGUCGGAUUAGCUAGUUGGCGGGGUAAAGGCCCACCAAGGCAACGAUCCGUAGCUGGUCUGAGAGGAUGAUCAGCCACACUGGAACUGAGACACGGUCCAGACUCCUACGGGAGGCAGCAGUGGGGAAUAUUGGACAAUGGGCGCAAGCCUGAUCCAGCCAUACCGCGUGGGUGAAGAAGGCCUUCGGGUUGUAAAGCCCUUUUGUUGGGAAAGAAAAGCAGCAGGUUAAUACCCCGCUGUUCUGACGGUACCCAAAGAAUAAGCACCGGCUAACUUCGUG
rnacentral:rRNA from 1 species